GGGGCACGCCGGGACCUGCAGUUUGCCCCUCCGUCCCUUCGCCGCCGCGGCGCUUUACCCCCGGGCCGCGGCCUCACGGCGGCUGCCGCCCCGCAGCGCCCGCACCCUGGAUGUGCCGCGCCACGGAGCGAGCCUCACCGCUUGCUCCAGCUUCAAACAAACACGCGGCAUCGCGACGCGGUGCCCCCCGGACGUCCAAGAGCGAACCAACAAGCUCAGACACUGAAAAGCCACUAUCGGAUCACCUCAGAGCGCUCUCCAGGCUGAAGAGCCCCAGCUCUCUCAGCCUGUCCUCAUAGGAGAGGUUUUUCCAUCCCUUGGAUCAUUUUUGUGGCCCUCCUCUGGAUGCUCUCCAACAGGUCCACGUCUCUCCUGUACAGAGGACUCCACAUCUGGACACAGUACUCCAGGUGAGGCUUCACCAGCACAGAGUGGAGGGGCAGGAUCACCUCCCUUGACCUGCUGGCCACAAUUCUUUGGAUGCAGCCCAAGAUACUGUUGGC
rnacentral:lncRNA from 1 species